rnacentral:tRNA from 1 species
GCCCGGGUGGCGGAAUUGGCAGACGCGCUGGUUUCAGGUACCAGUGCCCUUCCGGGCGUGCGGGUUCGACUCCCGCCCCGGGCA